rnacentral:rRNA from 1 species
AAUAUUGGACAAUGGGUGCAACCCUGUUCCAGCCAUGCCGCGUGUUGGAAGAAUGUCUUCGGAUUGUAAAGCAUUUUAAGUUGGGAGGAAGGGCUUUAGGUUAAUACCCUCAAGUUUUGACGUUACCAACAGAUUAAGCACCGGCAAACUCUGUGCUAGACGCCGCGGUAAUACAGAUGGUGCAAGCGUUAAUCGGAAUUACUGGGCGUAAAGCGCGCGUAGGUGGUUCAGUAAGAUGGGUGUGAAAUCCCCGGGCUUAACCUGGGAACUGCUUUCAUAACUGCUGAGCUAGAGUACGGUAGAGGGUAGUGGAAUUUCCUGUGUAGCGGUGAAAUGCGUAGAUAUAGGAAGGAACACCAGUGGCGAAGGCGACUACCUGGACUGAUACUGACACUGAGGUGCGAAAGCGUGGGGAGCAAAC